UCCCAAAUUGUUCCUUCACUACCCUCAUCAGAUAACUCCUUCCAGGUAGUUGUGAUGAGAGUGUCACUUCAUUGUCAAGGCUGUGCUGGUAAAGUGAAGAAACAUCUCUCAAAGAUGGAAGGGGUGACAUCUUUUAGCAUAGACUUGGAUAGCAAAAGGGUAACAGUGAUGGGACACGUGUCACCAGUUGGUGUGUUGGAAAGCAUAUCGAAAGUGAAAAGAGCUGAAUUUUGGCCCUGAAUAGUUGUUGAAGAAGAAGCAGAAGAGAAGUGUAUUACCUAAAAGUGACCAAACAUUAUUGUUUUUGAUUUGAUCAUUGCAUGAACAUGAACACAAAAGAGAGACUUAUUAAAGAAGUAGCCAAACAGAAACCUCGAAAGUGUUUUUGGCAUUUGCUUUCUAUUUAGGUAGUGUCUGUUUUAAAUUCUAUGGUCCCAUCAAUCCUCAUUGAUGAAAAGGGCUGCUGUGCAAAAUUGUUAACUAUCAUCAUGUGAACAAUGCCAGUACUGAUGCUGAUUUCCUUGUCCCAUA